AACCCCUUACACUUUAGGGCCUCCAGGGUCUCACCUUUAGGAUUCGUGAGAGACACAUCAGAGCCCUGGGCACUGUCGCUGCCUGGGGUAGA